UCAUACUUAACAAUAACAUAUAGCAUAUGUAUAAUCUCAAACCAUACUCAAUGACCACACAACAAUACCAACACAAACACACGUGUAAUAUUGGAAUACAUCCAUUCAUAUUACACGCCAUACAUAUAUUAUGCAAUGAGACUCCAUGCAUGCGGUACCGACUAUUUGUGAACAUAUAGUUCAACCUCACCGUCCAAACCCAGGCACGGCUACCAAGCUCACUAGUCCCACUCAUUUGAGACAUAGUGACUCACUCACUAAUUCCU
rnacentral:lncRNA from 1 species